AACGAACGCUGGCGGCAGGCUUAACACAUGCAAGUCGAGGGGUAACAGGGUAGCAAUACCGCUGACGACCGGCAAACGGGUGCGGAACACGUACGCAAUCUACCUUUGUCUGGGGCAUAGCCCGGAGAAAUCCGGAUUAACUCCCCAUAAAAUAACAGAGUGGCAUCACUCAAUUAUUAAAAUUUAUUGGACAGAGAUGAGCGUGCGUCCCAUUAGCUAGUUGGUAAGGUAAGGCUUACCAAGGCAACGAUGGGUAGCUGGUGUGAGAGCACGACCAGCCACACGGGCACUGAGACACGGGCCCGACUCCUACGGGAGGCAGCAGUGAGGAAUAUUGGGCAAUGGACGCAAGUCUGACCCAGCCAUGCCGCGUGAAGGAUGAAGGCGUUCUGCGUUGUAAACUUCUUUUAUCUGGGAAGAAAGCAUUGUUUCUACGAUGUCCGACGGUACCAGAAGAUAAGCACCGGCUAACUCCGUGCCAGCAGCCGCCGU
rnacentral:rRNA from 1 species